UCUUAAGAGAAAAAUAUAUUAAUGUUAAUUUAAUAAAGAUCAAGUUAACGUGUUUGUUGAUACGGGUCACUUGCCCAUGAUCUUAGAUUUACCCACGCCACGUUUCAACGCUUGGGGACAAUCUUUUCUUCUGUAUAUUUAUUGUACCAGGGUUGAGAUCCUGUACAAACAGUGCUAACUGUAAGAACCGUAAGAACAGAUCUGAACCAUUGAUAGUUUAAAUCAAGGGUUAUGGUUGAUUAUAAAUAAAACUCUUAUAAUUAAAAAUUAGUACUAACAAGUUAGGGGUAAUUAUGUAAAAUUGCUAGUCAUUUGACAUUUUCAAUUAAAUACAAAUUCCACCAAGGUUUUUUAAACUAAAAAUAACUUUUAUAUACUUCAUUAUUUUUUUUAAAAAAAUAUACCAUAAAAUCAAGUUUUUUUUUAUCUUUAAUAUGAGUACCAUAUUGCUAUCCUUUUUUUUAUUUAUAAAAGUAACUUUUAAAAAAGUUACCAAAAGUUGUUUUAUAAUUGUGCUGAUAAUGUGCUGAUUAUGUGUUAAUUAUAAUAUAAUUGCCCAUCGAGAUAUUUUAUAAAAUUUGUUAAAUAUUCUUCCCAUAAGAUUUCAUCCUGCUUGAAGGUGAUUUGAAUCAGCACUUUGAAAACUAACCAACACGUGUAUUAACAAUACUUUAAAAACAUACCAACACAUAUGCUAACAACACUUUAAAAACAUAUCAGCACAUGUGCUAACAGAACUUUAGAAACAUACCAGCACAUGUGUAA
rnacentral:lncRNA from 1 species